rnacentral:rRNA from 1 species
GACGAACGCUGGCGGCGUGCUUAACACAUGCAAGUCGAACGGAAAGGCCCUGCUUUUGUGGGGUGCUCGAGUGGCGAACGGGUGAGUAACACGUGAGUAACCUGCCCUUGACUUUGGGAUAACUUCAGGAAACUGGGGCUAAUACCGGAUAGGAGCUCCGGCUGCAUGGUGGGGGUUGGAAAGUUUCGGCGGUUGGGGAUGGACUCGCGGCUUAUCAGCUUGUUGGUGGGGUAGUGGCUUACCAAGGCUUUGACGGGUAGCCGGCCUGAGAGGGUGACCGGCCACAUUGGGACUGAGAUACGGCCCAGACUCCUACGGGAGGCAGCAGUGGGGAAUAUUGCACAAUGGGCGGAAGCCUGAUGCAGCAACGCCGCGUGAGGGAUGACGGCCUUCGGGUUGUAAACCGCUUUCGCCUGUGACGAAGCGUGAGUGACGGUAAUGGGUAAAGAAGCACCGGCUAACUACGUG